UCUAGUUAGCAUUAUACCGUGAAACUGCGAAUGGCUCAUUAAAUCAGUUAUCGUUUAUUUGAUAGUACCUUACUACUUGGAUAACCGUGGUAAUUCUAGAGCUAAUACAUGCUAAAAACCCCAACUUCGGGAGGGGUGUAUUUAUUAGAUAAAAAACCAACGCCCUUCGGGGCUUCUUGGUGAUUCAUGAUAACUUUACGGAUCGCAUGGCCUUGCGCCGGCGACGGUUCAUUCAAAUUUCUGCCCUAUCAACUUUCGAUGGUAAGGUAUUGGCUUACCAUGGUUUCAACGGGUAACGGGGAAUUAGGGUUCGAUUCCGGAGAGGGAGCCUGAGAAACGGCUACCACAUCCAAGGAAGGCAGCAGGCGCGCAAAUUACCCAAUCCCGACACGGGGAGGUAGUGACAAUAAAUACUGAUACAGGGCUCUUUUGGGUCUUGUAAUUGGAAUGAGUACAAUUUAAACCUCUUAACGAGGAACAAUUGGAGGGCAAGUCUGGUGCCAGCAGCCGCGGUAAUUCCAGCUCCAAUAGCGUAUAUUAAAGUUGUUGCAGUUAAAAAGCUCGUAGUUGAAACUUGGGUCUGGCUGGCAGGUCCGCCUCACCGCGUGUACUUGUCCGGCCGGGCCUUCCUUCUGGAGAACCUCAUGCCCUUCACUGGGCGUGUUGGGGACCAGGACUUUUACUUUGAAAAAAUUAGAGUGUUCAAAGCAGGCCUUUGCUCGAAUACGUUAGCAUGGAAUAAUAGAAUAGGACGUGCGGUCCUAUUUUGUUGGUUUCUAGGACCGCCGUAAUGAUUAAUAGGGACAGUCNGGGGGCAUCAGUAUUCAAUUGUCAGAGGUGAAAUUCUUGGAUUUAUUGAAGACUAACUACUGCGAAAGCAUUUGCCAAGGAUGUUUUCAUUAAUCAGUGAACGAAAGUUAGGGGAUCGAAGACGAUCAGAUACCGUCGUAGUCUUAACCGUAAACUAUGCCGACUAGGGAUCGGGCGAUGUUCUUUUUCUGACUCGCUCGGCACCUUACGAGAAAUCAAAGUUUUGGUUC
rnacentral:rRNA from 1 species